UACGUAGGGCGCAAGCGUUGUCCGGAAUUAUUGGGCGUAAAGAGCUCGUAGGCGGUCUGUCGCGUCCGUUGUGAAAACUCGAGGCUCAACCUCGGGCUUGCAGUGGAUACGGGCAGACUAGAGUGCGGUAGGGGAGACUGGAAUUCCUGGUGUAGCGGUGAAAUGCGCAGAUAUCAGGAGGAACACCGAUGGCGAAGGCAGGUCUCUGGGCAUUAACUGACGCUGAGGAGCGAAAGCAUGGGGAGCGAACAGG
rnacentral:rRNA from 1 species